rnacentral:rRNA from 1 species
CCUACGGGCGACAGCAGUGGGGAAUAUUGCACAAUGGGCGAAAGCCUGAUGCAGCAACGCCGCGUGAGUGAUGAAGGCCUUCGGGUUGUAAAGCUCUGUUCUCAAGGAAGAAAAUGACGGUGCUUGAGGAGGAAGCACCGGCUAACUACGUGCCAGCAGCCGCGGUAAUACGUAGGGGGAUAGCGUUAGCCGGAAUGACGGGGCGUAAAGGGUGCGUAGGUGGGUUGUAAAGUGAGAGGUGAAAGGGUACGGAUCAACCGUAGUAGGCCUGUGAAACUGGGGAACUUGAGUGCAGGAGAGGGAACUGGAAUUCCUAGUGUAGCGGUGAAAUGCGUAGAUAUUAGGAGGAACACCAGUUGCGAAGGCGGGUCUCUGGACUGUAACUGACACUGAGGCACGAAAGCGUGGGGAGCAAACAGGAUUAGAUACCCGAGUAGUC